UAAACAUUGCGGGGGAACUCAUUAGAGUUGAGAAGGUAGAACCUGACCCUUUGAACCUGUCAGUUAACACUGUCGUAGGGAAGCAACUAUUUUGUUAAG
rnacentral:ncRNA from 2 species